ACGAGACGUUGCCCCUCGGGGUACACCUCCCACCCUUUGUUUACCAUACCUAUGUUGCUUUGGCAGGCCCGUCCUCGGGCCGCCGGCUCCGGCCGGUCAGCGCCUGCCAGGGGACCCAAACUCUGUCUGUCCAUGCCGUCUGAGUACUAUAUAAUAGUUA
rnacentral:misc_RNA from 1 species